GACGAACGCUGGCGGCGUGCCUAACACAUGCAAGUCGAACGGGAGUAUUGAAGAAGCUUGCUUUAGAGAUACUUUAGUGGCGGACGGGUGAGUAACGCGUGAGGAGCUGUCCGAUGCAGGGGGACAACAGUUGGAAACGACUGCUAAUACCCCAUAAGCCGAGAGGUAAAAGGAUUUAUCCGGCAAUGGAGGUACUCGCGUCCUAUCAGCUAGUAGGUGAGGUAACGGCUCACCUAGGCGAAGACGGGUAGCCGGCCUGAGAGGGCGAACGGCCACACUGGAACUGAGAUACGGUCCAGACUCCUACGGGAGGCAGCAGUGGAGAAUAUUGGGCAAUGGGGGGAACCCUGACCCAGCGACGCCGCGUGGGUGAAGAAAUCCCUCGGGAUGUAAAGCCCUGUUGUAUGGGAAGAGCGGAAGACGGUACCAUACGAGGAAGCCCCGGCGAACUACGUGCCAGCCGCCGCAGAAA
rnacentral:rRNA from 1 species